AGGGUGUGUGAAGUGGAAGGGAGGAAGCACAUCUGCUGUAGAAACAAGGUGGUGCAGAAUCUGUAUGACAUGUUCCACACAAGGAACUACAUCCACAGAAUAGCUUGUGAGCACAAAGUGAACACAAUCAUACAGCACAUGAUCAAAGACGCCUUCUUAAAAGCAGAUGGGCACUUGAAGAUAAAAGGCUCAGGAGGGACGGAGUGGACUCUCUC